rnacentral:rRNA from 1 species
GACGAACGCUGACGGCGUGCUUAACACAUGCAAGUCGAACGGUGAAGCGCCUUCCUUUUUGGUGGGUGUGGAUGAGUGGCGAACGGGUGAGUAACACGUGAGUAACCUGCCCCCUUCUUCUGGAUAACCGCAUGAAAGUGUGGCUAAUACGGGAUAUUCUGGGUCUGUCGCAUGAUGGGUCUGGGAAAGAUAUUGUUUCGGGGGGGGAUGGGCUCGCGGCCUAUCAGCUUGUUGGUGGGGUGAUGGCCUACCAAGGCGGUGACGGGUAGCCGGCCUGAGAGGGUGGACGGUCACACUGGGACUGAGACACGGCCCAGACUCCUACGGGAGGCAGCAGUGGGGAAUAUUGCACAAUGGGCGCAAGCCUGAUGCAGCGACGCCGCGUGAGGGAUGGAGGCCUUCGGGUUGUGAACCUCUUUCGCCAGUGAAGCAGGCCUGCCUCGUUUGUGGGUGGGUUGACGGUAGCUGGAUAAGAAGCGCCGGCUAACUACGUG